rnacentral:lncRNA from 1 species
GUGGUUUAGUUAUCAUUAAAUAUAUAACAAUACAAGCCUCUUAACAAGUAAAUCAAGCAACAAAAAAGGAUAUAGCAUGAAAGUUUUUUACAAUUAUGUGUAAGACAAAUUAACUCUUCAAAUAUUGGAAAAUUGUUGAAGCACAGGCGUGCAUGCAUUCGGCAAUCUUUGUCUUCUAUAUCUUUCCUUCUCUCCAACUUAAUUCAAUAAAUC